rnacentral:rRNA from 1 species
GACAGAGGUGGCAAGCGUUGUUCGGAUUCAUUGGGUGUAAAGGGUAGGUAGGCGGUUAUGUAAGUCUGAUGUGAAAUCCCAGGGCUCAACCCUGGAACUGCAUUGGAAACUACAUGACUUGAGUACUGGAGAGGCAAGGGGAAUUCCCGGUGUAAGGGUGACAUCUGUAGAUAUCGGGAGGAAUACCAGAGGCGAAGGCGCCUUGCUGGCCGGUUACUGACGCUGAGCUACGAAAGCUAGGGGAGCAAACAGG